rnacentral:rRNA from 1 species
CCUACGGGCGGCAGCAGUAGGGAAUAUUGCGCAAUGGGCGAAAGCCUGACGCAGCGACGCCGCGUGAGGGAUGAAGGUCUUCGGAUCGUAAACCUCUGUCAGCAGGGAAGAACGGUCACUGUGCUAAUCAGCAGUGAAUUGACGGUACCUGCAAAGGAAGCACCGGCUAACUCCGUGCCAGCAGCCGCGGUAAUACGGAGGGUGCGAGCGUUAAUCGGAUUUACUGGGCGUAAAGCGCUCGUAGGCGGUAUGUCAAGUCAAGGGUGAAAUCCCGGCGCUCAACGUGGGAACUGCCUUUGAAACUGGCAAACUGGAGUGUGUGAGAGGAUAGUGGAAUUCCAGGUGUAGGAGUGAAAUCCGUAGAUAUCUGGAGGAACAUCAGUGGCGAAGGCGACUAUCUGGAACAUAACUGACGCUGAGGAGCGAAAGCGUGGGUAGCAAACAGGAUUAGAUACCCGAGUAGUC